rnacentral:rRNA from 1 species
GACAGAGGGUGCAAACGUUGUUCGGAAUUACUGGGCGUAAAGCGCGUGUAGGCUGUUCUGAAAGUCGGGUGUGAAAGCCCUGGGCUCAACCUAGGAAGUGCACUCGAAACUUCAGAACUCGAGUCCUGGAGAGGAAGGCGGAAUUCUCGGUGUAGAGGUGAAAUUCGUAGAUAUCGAGAGGAACACCGGUGGCGAAGGCGGCCUUCUGGACAGUGACUGACGCUGAGACGCGAAAGCGUGGGGAGCAAACAGG